rnacentral:miRNA from 1 species
CAAACUUGAUGGUGUUUAUGACGUCGAAUAUCGACGUCAUAAAUACUAAACAUGAAGAUGUUUAUGACGUCGAAUAUCGACGUCAUAAACACCAAAA